GGCAGGCCUAACACAUGCAAGUCGAAGAGGCUCUUCGAUAGCGGCGGACGGGUGAGUAAUGCCUAGGAAUCUGCCUAGUAGUGGGGGACAACGUUUCGAAAGGANCGCUAAUACCGCAUNCGUCCUACGGGAGAAAGACCUCACGCUAUUAGAUGAGCCUAGGUCGGAUUAGCUAGUUGGUAGGGUAAAGNCCUNCCAAGGCGACGAUCCGUAACUGGUCUGAGAGGAUGAUCAGUCACACUGGAACUGAGACACGGUCCAGNNUNCUACGGGAGGCAGCAGUGGGGAAUAUUGGACAAUGGGCGAAAGCCUGAUCCANNCAUNCCGCGUGUGUGAAGAAGGCCUUCGGGUCGUAAAGCACUUUAAGUUGGGAGGAAG
rnacentral:rRNA from 1 species